rnacentral:tRNA from 1 species
CGGGGUGUAGCUCAGUCUGGCCAAGAGCAUUGCCUUCGGGAGGCAAGGGUCGGAGGUUCAAAUUCUUUCACCUCGA